GGAACAGACUACCAACAUAAAAGUAUUAUGAAAACUUUCAUUUGUACAAAUGGCUAAUAAAGAUGUCAUUUACUACUUGGAGUAUCCUAGCUUAGUUCAAGAUUCAAUAUCUCUAUAUGUUUUCAAUGAUAUCUGGAUCCAGCCCUUCAGGCCUAUUUUUGAAGGUGGUGAUAUGAUAAAACAAUCAUUUACCCUCAUGAUACCAAAUUUAAUUCCUUAUCUCACAACUUCAGGAACACUAGACCAGGCCCCUUUUUAAACUGUUCUUUAAUCAUCCAAUUAAUCCCACCAUAUAUCUGAAUGGCUCGUGAUUGGCAUUGAAAUGCCCUACUUGUGUACACAAGUAGGGCAUUUCAAGUUACACAAGUAUCUCUGUAAUGGUACUGCUAUUUAAUAAACAUAUGAGAAAAUGGC
rnacentral:lncRNA from 1 species